rnacentral:rRNA from 1 species
UACGUAGGGGGCAAGCGUUUGUUCGGAUUCAUUGGGCGUAAAGGGUGCGUAGGCGGCGCGGUAAGUCGGGUGUGAAAUCUCGGAGCUUAACUCCGAAACUGCAUUCGAUACUGCCGUGCUUGAGGACUGGAGAGGAGACUGGAAUUUACGGUGUAGCGGUGAAAUGCGUAGAUAUCGUAAGGAAGACCAGUGGCGAAGGCGGGUCUCUGGACAGUUCCUGACGCUGAGGCACGAAGGUCAGGGGAGCAAACGGG